rnacentral:lncRNA from 1 species
UUUUAAACUUUCAAAUAUUUUUUUAUUUGCAUAUUUUAUGCCUCUUUCCAAUCAGGACGAUUACUAAGGGUCGGCGCCAGUUUCAACCACGGGUUGCACCCACACCCAUGGAGACGGCCGGAUGAUGAAGGACGGGAAUCGCCAGGCCGUGCCUAGCACUCCGAAAAACUUUUUCAGGAGUUUCCAGACCCGGAACGCAAACCAGAAUCCUCCUACAUGGCACGCUGACAGCGUUACCACUCGGUCAUCCGGCCGUCAAGUUUUAAAUAUUAUCAACCGGGUAAAGCGUGUUAUACUACUUUUCUUGAUGGUCUGGAUUCAAUUCCUGGCUGUCAUACCUCCAGUUUUUCAGCAAGUAUUCGACCCUGCUCGUAGGACUACACCUUCACCAGGAAUAUCGGCCAGAUGAAAAACGGCGUUAAAUCAUAUAGAGAGAGGAAAAACAACAUUCAAAUAUUAUCAUAAAUGAAAAUACGUACUAUAUUUAAUUUCCAAAUAGCGUAUUUAUAAAUGACUUUAAUAAAUAUAUAGUAUUUAUUUUCUAUUUUCUAUUUUUGUAAAAAUUAACUAGAUCGUUUUUGUUUUUAG